rnacentral:rRNA from 1 species
CCCUUAGAUGUCCUGGGCCGCACGCGCGCUACACUGAGUGUCUGAGAUACGAGUCUGCCUGGUCCGGCAAGGUCUAGGUAAUCGCUAAAAGACACAUCAUGCUUGGGAUAGAUUAUUGCAAAUAUUAAUCUUGAACGAGGAAUUCCUUGUAAGCGCAAGUCAACAGCUUGCGUUGAUUACGUCCCUGCCCUUUGUACACACCGCCCGUCGCUACUACUGAUUGGAUGUUUAAGCGAGGUUCUCGAACUGCUAGCGACUUAGCUUCGGUGAGGUCGCAGUGUGGGAAGUGAACCUAGCUUUGGUGUCUAGAGGAAGUAAAAGUCGUAACA